rnacentral:rRNA from 1 species
AUUGAACGCUGGCGGCAGGCCUAACACAUGCAAGUCGAACGAGUGGCGGACGGGGGAGUAAUGUAUGGGAAACUGCCUGAUGGAGGGGGGUAACUACUGGAAACGGUAGCUAAUAACGCAUACCAUCAGAUGGGCCCAGAUGGGAUUAGCUUGGUGGUGGGGUAACGGCUCACCAAGGCGACGAUCCCUAGCUGGUCUGAGAGGAUGAUAAGCUACACUGGAACUGAGACACGGUCCAGACUCAUACGGUAGGCAGCAGUGGAGAAUAUUGUACAAUGGACGCAAGCCUGAUGCAGCCAUGCCGCGUGGAUGAAGAAGGCCUGCGGGUUGUAAAGUACUUUCAGUGGGGAGGCGUUACCCGAAGAAGAAGCACCGGCUAACUCCGUGCCAGCCGCCGCGGUAAUAC